rnacentral:rRNA from 1 species
AUGCCGACAGUCAGCGUCGGCCGCGACCGCCUCUUCGCUGCACUCGGCAGGGUCUNNNCGCAAGACGAAUUCGAGGCACUCUGCUUCGAUUUCGGCAUCGAACUCGACGACGUGACCACAGAGAAGGCCAUCAUCCGGAAGGAGAAGCACCUGGAGGAAGAUGUCGAAGCGGACGGUGAUGACGAGGUCAUCUACAAGAUUGAGGUUGCUGCCAAUAGAUAUGAUUUGUUAUGUCUUGAAGGAUUAGCAAGAUCUCUUCGCAUUUUCACUGGGAGUGAAGCAACCCCUAUAUUUAAAAUUGCUUCAAUCCCCCGUGGUUCAAUGCUUCAGAUGCAUGUUAGACCACAGACGUCACAAACUAGACCAUAUGUAGUUUGUGCUGUCCUAAGAGGAGUAACUUUUGCUGAAGUCAGAUACAACAGCUUCAUUGAUCUUCAAGACAAACUCCAUCAAAAUAUUUGCCGGAAGAGAACUCUUGUUGCUAUUGGUACCCAUGAUUUGGACACUCUGCAAGGACCCUUCUCAUACGAGGCUCUACCACCACAGGAAAUCAAUUUUAUCCCAUUAAAACAGGAGCAAACGUUCAGAGCAGAUGCAUUGAUGGAUUUCUACCGAUCUGACAUGAAGUUGAAGAAGUUUUUGCAUAUUAUCGAGAAUUCUCCAGUUUACCCAGUUAUAUAUGAUAGCAACAGAACUGUAUUAUCGUUACCUCCUAUCAUCAAUGGUGCACAUUCUGCUAUCACCCUGAAGACAAGGAAUGUGUUUAUCGAAUGCACUGCUACAGACCUUACAAAAGCAAAUAUUGUUCUGAAUACAAUGGUCGCAAUGUUUUCGGAGUACUGUGAAAAUAAGUUUGAAGUGGAACCAGUUGAAGUGGUAUCUCAUGAUGGAAGCACAGCCAUUUAUCCUGAUCUUUCAUGUUAUAAAAUGGAAGUUUCGCUCUCUGAUAUUGUUGGACCCAUUGGAAUCUCCCUAGAUGAGACGCAGGUUAUCUCCCUUCUGAACAAAAUGCAAUUGCAAGCGGAACUUUGUUCAUCAAAUCGGGAGCCUUGUAUUUCGGUGUCUGUCCCUCCUACAAGAAGUGAUGUUCUGCAUGCUCGUGAUCUAGCAGAGGAUGUUGCUAUAGCUUAUGGGUACAACAAUGUGCCAAAAUCAAAACCAAAGUCUAUGACAAUUGGUGGAAGGCAACCACUAAACCGUUUCUCUGAUAAAAUUCGUGCCGAGGUUGCAAGAGCUGGUUAUAUGGAGGUGCUCACAUUUGUUUUGACUUCACAUGAAGAGAACUUUGACAUGCUAAACAGGACAGACGAUGGAAAUAAAGCAGUCAUUAUUGCAAACCCCCGUACUUCUGAAUUUGAGGUUGUAAGAAGUAGUCUGAUGUCAUGUUUGUUGAAAACGCUGAAGCAUAAUAUAGACCAUCCAAGACCCAUAAAGAUUUUUGAAGUUGGUGAUGUAGUGUCAUUGGAUACUUCACGUGAUGUUGGUGCCUCUAAUAAUCGCCGGCUUGCAGCUUUGUACUGUAAUAGUAAUUCUGGAUUUGAGGAAAUUAUGGGUUUGGUGGAUAGGAUUGUCAAAAUCGUGAGAGCUCCACACAUAAAUUUCGGCCAGACUUACUAUGUUCCUUCAAGUGAACCCGAGUUCUUUACUAAAAGACAAUGCAAAAUUGUUAUGAGUGAUGGAAAGCAGGUUGGCUACUUAGGAAUUGUCCAUGCUGAGGUGCUAAGAAAAUUUGGCAUUCCGGACCCCUGCACUUUCGUUGAGAUUGACAUUGAGGCUCUUUUGUAG